CAGAAAGGGGCAUGAACAGGUGGCAAGGGCUUCAAGAGGAUGCCAGGGGUAUGAAAGCAGCAACAAAGACCAAACAGGUCAACAAGCCUGUGUUCGAGUAUGAGACCACAUGGAACAGAGGAAGCCACACCAACUGGGACCACUUUAAGCCAGUCAGGCCCCAGCCAACCCAGGAGCUGACCACAGAAGCGUGAGUGAGCAAAACAGAGUCUGGAAAACUUGCCCAGCUUGGCUUAGCCCGAAAUCACCAAGCUACACAAUGAAUUUCUAGCUUGAGAAGACGCCAUGGUACAUCCGGAUCAUCUCCCAUCACGGUCAAGGUGGCUUCAAAUUCUCCCUCAACUCGAAACUUCACCCGGCCAU